rnacentral:rRNA from 1 species
AACGAACGCUGGCGGCAGGCCUAACACAUGCAAGUCGAGCGCGCCCUUCGGGGUGAGCGGCGGACGGGUUAGUAACGCGUGGGAAUAUACCCGACACUAAGGAAUAGCCUCUGGAAACGGAGAGUAAUACCUUAUACGCCCUUCGGGGGGAAAGAUUUAUCGGUGACGGAUUAGCCCGCGUUAGAUUAGAUAGUUGGUGGGGUAAUGGCCUACCAAGUCUACGAUCUAUAGCUGGUUUUAGAGGAUGAUCAGCAUCACUGGGACUGAGACACGGCCCAGACUCCUACGGGAGGCAGCAGUGGGGAAUCUUGGACAAUGGGCGCAAGCCUGAUCCAGCCAUGCCGCGUGAGUGAUGAAGGCCUUAGGGUCGUAAAGCUCUUUCGCCAGAGAUGAUAAUGACAGUAUCUGGUAAAGAAACCCCGGCUAACUCCGUGCCAGCAGCCGCGGUAAUACGGAGGGGGUUAGCGUUGUUCGGAAUUACUGGGCGUAAAGCGCGCGUAGGCGGAUCGGAAAGUUGGGGGUGAAAUCCCGGGGCUCAACCCCGGAACUGCCUCCAAAACUAUCGGUCUAGAGUUCGAGAGAGGUGAGUGGAAUUCCGAGUGUAGAGGUGAAAUUCGUAGAUAUUCGGAGGAACACCAGUGGCGAAGGCGGCUCACUGGCUCGAUACUGACGCUGAGGUGCGAAAGUGUGGGGAGCAAACAGGAUUAGAUACCCUGGUAGUCCACACCGUAAACGAUGAAUGCCAGUCGUCGGGUAGCAUGCUAUUCGGUGACACACCUAACGGAUUAAGCAUUCCGCCU